rnacentral:lncRNA from 1 species
AUGUUCGAAAGAAAAAUGUAGGGAAGUGCACGUAAAAUACUUUUAGAGAAACUAUAUAUGCUGCAAAGCUAUGGUUGGAGAUGCAUCUUAUUUUCAGAUGAAAUUUUUAACUUUCAUUUAUCGCGAUGGAAUGGCAACAUCGAGCCACAUACAGGAUAUGCGAAUGGUGUUGAACAAAUGCUCAACUCUCAGUUAUUUUCUUUUGCGAAUUGUACCUUCGACAAUCAUUUAAAAAAUACUAGAUUUAAUAUAUUUAAUACAAUUAAACAGCUUUCGCGUCAGUAAUCCUC